CUCAAAGCCUGGAGUCAUGGAACUCAUUAUCCUCCCUGGGACCUUCUAGACCUUCUCACAGUGCCCCCAGAGGUCAGUUCUCCUGGAACUGGAAUUACAGAAAGCUUUGAGACACCUUGUGUCAUGAGCAUAAUGAAUUAAACUUCUGAAACUCUAGGCAGCCUCUCAGCCUCAAUGUCCUCACAGUCAAUGGACCAUGGAAACAUCUCUUCUGCUGCGGGAAUUAUGCACACACAGUGUUCAACAUGGUGCUGCUUCACAGACUACGAGCAGAUGAACCAUGAGCAGCAGCACUGACUCUCCUUACCAUUCCAUCGACUUGCCAACAACAAUCGUCCUGAGAGGAAAGAGACGUGAUCGUGGUCAACAGAUUUCCCUCCCUUGACACUCGGAUUUUAGAAGACUUGUGGAAAAUCUGUGAAAGCAACCAUUUCACAGCCACUGCAAUCUAGCGCUGGGCCUAUCUUUCUUCAGGAGUAGCUGGUUUGAGUUUCCUGUGUCUAGAAAAUCUGCUUUUAAUGUAAAACAGAGGGGAGAUGCUAAUAGGCUAAAUAAGGAAGACAGUGAACUCAAGACUGUCAGCCUCCUACCUUACAAAUAGAGAUGAAGUCAGGGGUUCCACGAAAGGAAAAACAAUGCGUUCUCCUUCCAUCCAGCUCAGCACAUACAUUCUUCAACUUUUCAAAUUAUCUCGGCAGAUGUGAGCCACGUCCUCUCCAAAGAGCACAGCACACGGUGGUAAAGCUUCUGCACCUCCAGUCUGAUGAUGUCUUCAUAUGCACUGAGAAGAUGCACGUAUAGUCUUCGACAUCUCCUCACUCAGCCGGGGCAGGUUGAGCCCUGUGUGCAUCCCCACUGGCUUUAGCAUUCUCCAGCUCCUUGGUACCUCAAUUCUGCGGUACCAAUUUCCAAUCCUAACCUGCCUAUGCGGCAUCAUUUCCUCACACCAAAGUGUCAAAUUAAAAUCUGAUAAGGGCAGCGUUGUACUGGAGAUUAUCACUAGCUCCAGGGCUGUCUAAGCUCCACUUAAUUAAAAAGGUUGCAUCCA